GACGAACGCUGGCGGCGUGCUUAACACAUGCAAGUCGAACGGAAAGGCCCUGCUUUUGUGGGGUGCUCGAGUGGCGAACGGGUGAGUAACACGUGAGUAACCUGCCCUUGACUUUGGGAUAACUUCAGGAAACUGGGGCUAAUACCGGAUAGGAGCUCCUGCUGCAUGGUGGGGGUUGGAAAGUUUCGGCGGUUGGGGAUGGACUCGCGGCUUAUCAGCUUGUUGGUGGGGUAGUGGCUUACCAAGGCUUUGACGGGUAGCCGGCCUGCGAGGGUGACCGGCCACAUUGGGACUGAGAUACGGCCCAGGCUCCUACGGGAGGCAGCAGUGGGGAAUAUUGCACAAUGGGCGGAAGCCUGAUGCAGCAACGCCGCGUGCGGGAUGACGGCCUUCGGGUUGUAAACCGCUUUCGCCUGUGACGAAGCGUGAGUGACGGUAAUGGGUAAAGAAGCACCGGCUAACUACGUG
rnacentral:rRNA from 1 species